CAUACAAUUUUAGGGCAAAUCAUUUCAGCCUCCCCAAUCGCCUCCAUCUCUAUUCUCGUUCUUAACUCUGAACUUGCCCUCUCUUUGUCUCUGCAACUGCAAACUACAAAAUCUACAAGAAUCAGAAGUUCAAAACCCACAUAAUUCAGUUUAUCUAUCUGUCUGCAAGAAUCAAAAUAUCAAAACUUAUUACCUAUAUCAAAACCCAUAUCGGCAUAUCAUUUCAGGUUGUUCAAAAAAUCAAAACCCAUAUACUUCAGUUUCCAUCGCCCGCUGUUCCAGUUCGGGUUCGCCGUUUGCAAGCUUUAGCCGCUGGCCCUCUGUUUCUCAACUCUCAAGUCCCUCUCUCUGCAACUGCUAACUUGAUUUGAAAGACUAAUUGGUAAAUUUGGGUUGAAACAAGCUGAAGGCCCUUAUACAGGUGUGCCUUUCUUUGGGGAUGGUGUUGCUGUAUGGUUAAUAUUACUUGGUUUGGAAUUGGUAUUGAUUUUCAUUGGAGGGUCUAAGAUUUGAAAGACUAAUUGGUAAAUUUGGGUUGAACUUGGGUCUUGAAUAAGCUGAAGGCCUUUAUCGUGGAUUAUAAUUUUUACAAUUACAGCUUCCUAUGGUCCUACCAUCUUUUAGAGUGCUCUCAUCACUUCAGGUCAAAGCUAAGAUUGCGGGAUUGCGGUUGCCGUUACUUUUUUUGUUGCCGCUAUAUUAUUUGUAUGGCUCAUGAAAAAGUUGCAUAGAAGGAAGAGAGAGACUAAAACAGAGCAAGAGCAAGAAGAUAUGAAGAAUUUUUGUUUUAUUUUAAUUAAGUAAAGAUAUAAGGUGUGGAUCAUGUACUUUUUGAAAUUUGUAUAUGGAUAAUUUUUGUAUAAAACAAUGAUUUGAAAUUGGUUAUAUAUAUAUAUAUAUAUAUAUAUAUAUAUAUAUA